rnacentral:rRNA from 1 species
CUAUCCUACGGGACGCAGCAGUGGGGGAUAUUGCACAAUGGGGGGAACCCUGAUGCAGCGACGCCGCGUGAGUGAAGAAGUAUCUCGGUAUGUAAAGCUCUAUCAGCAGGGAAGAAGCAAGACGGUACCUGACUAAGAAGCCCCGGCUAAAUACGUGCCAGCAGCCGCGGUAAUACGUAUGGAGCAAGCGUUAUCCGGAUUUACUGGGUGUAAAGGGAGCGCAGACGGCGGGGCAAGUCUGAUGUGAAAGUCCGGGCUCAACCCCGGGACUGCAUUGGAAACUGUCCGGCUAGAGUGCCGGAGAG